GACGGAGGAUGCAAGCGUUAUCCGGAAUGAUUGGGCGUAAAGCGUCCGCAGGUGGCAGUGCAAGUCUGCUGUUAAAGACCGGGGCUUAACUUCGGAAAGGCAGUGGAAACUGCACAGCUAGAGUAUGGUAGGGGCAGAGGGAAUUCCUGGUGUAGCGGUGAAAUGCGUAGAGAUCAGGAAGAACACCGGUGGCGAAGGCGGGUCUCUGGGCAAUAACUGACGCUGAGGAGCGAAAGCGUGGGGAGCGAACAGG
rnacentral:rRNA from 1 species